UUCCGGUUGAUCCCGCCGGACCUGACUGCUAUCGGAUUGAUACUAAGCCAUGCUAGUCUUUGUAGUAAUACAAGGCAUACGGCUCAGUAACGCGUAGUCAACCUACCCUAUGGACGGGGAUAAUCUCGGGAAACUGAGCAUAAUACCCGGCAGACCACUUAUCCUGGAAUGGUUAGUGGUUAAAAUGAUUCGUCGCCAUAGGAUGGGACUGCGGCCUAUCAGCUUGUUGGUGAGGUAAUGGCCCACCAAGGCGAUUACAGGUACGGGCUCUGAGAGGAGAGGCCCGGAGAUGGGUACUGAGACAAGGACCCAGGCCCUAUGGGGCGCAGCAGGCGAGAAAACUUUGCAAUGUGCGAAAGCACGACAAGGUUAAUCCGAGUGAUUUCUGCUAAAGGAAUCUUUUGUUAGUUCUAAAAAUACUAGUGAAUAAGGGGUGGGCAAGUUCUGGUGUCAGCCGCCGCGGUAAAACCAGCACCUCAAGUGGUCAGGAGGAUUAUUGGGCCUAAAGCAUCCGUAGCCUGUUCUAUAAGUUUGCGGUUAAAUCUAUACGCUCAACGUAUAGGCUGCCGUAAAUACUGUAGAACUAGGGAGUGGGAGAGGUAGACGGUACUCGAUAGGAAGGGGUAAAAUCCUUUGAUCUAUUGAUGACCACCUGUGGCGAAGGCGGUCUACCAGAACACGUUCGACGGUGAGGGAUGAAAGCUGGGGGAGCAAACCGGAUUAGAUACCCGGGUAGUCCCAGCUGUAAACGAUGCAGACUCGAUGAUGCAAUGGCAUAGAGCUAUUGCAGUAUCGCAGGGAAGCCGUUAAGUCUGCCGCCUGGGAAGUACGUACGCAAGUAUGAAACUUAAAGGAAUUGGCGGGGGAGCACCACAAGGGGUGAAGCCUGCGGUUCAAUUGGAUUCAACGCCGGG
rnacentral:rRNA from 1 species